ensembl:lncRNA
GACACGAAGAGGAGGACACGAGGAAGAGGAGGACACGAGGAAGAGGAGGACACGAGGAGGAGGAGGACACGAGGAGGAGGAGGACACGAGGACGAGGAGGACACGAGGAUGAGGAUGACACUAGGAUGAGGACAUGAAGAGGAGGAGGACACAAGGAAGAGGAGGACACGAGGAUGAGGAGGACACAAGAAAUUGAGGACACGAAGAUGAGGAGGACACAAGGACGAGGAGGACACAAAGAUGACGAGGACAGGAGGAGGAGGAGGACACGAAGAUGACGAGGACACGAGGACGAGGAGGACACGAGGACGAGGAGGACACGAGGACGAGGAGGAUGCAAGAAAACGAGGACAGGGGAAGAUGAGGAGGACACGAGGACGAGGAGGAUGCAAGGGGACGAGGAGGCUGCGGAAGGCGGAGGCUGCAGGAGUUGCAGAGGGCGCUGCGGGAACGAAGAGCGCGGUGCGAGGGAUGCGAAGGGUCUGCGAGGAGCACGAAGCGGAGGACCUGCAAAGAGGACGGUGCAAAGAGCAAGGUGCAAAGGAUUUGCAAAGAGCAAGGUGCAAAGGAUUUGCAAAGAGCAAGGUGCAAAGGAUUUGCAAGGACCAUGAUGCAAAGAGCACGAAGCGAAGGGUUUGGAAAGAGCGCGACGCAAGGACCUUCCUGCAAAGAGGUGCAAGGGAUUUGCGAAGGGGGUGGUGGGAAGACCAAGAAGCAACGACCGAGACGCAAAGGACUUGCAAAGACCAUGAUGGAAAGAGCACGAUGCAAGGGGCAGGAUGCGAGGGGGUGGAAAGGAGUUGCAAAGACCAAGGUGCGAAGACCACGGUGCGAAGACCAAGGCGGAAGAGUUUCCAAAGACCGUGGUGCAAAGAGAAGGAUGCAAAGGAUUUGCAAAGACCAUGAUGCAAAGACCAAGAUGCAAAGAGGACGAAGGAAAGAUUUGCAAAGACCACGAUGCAAAGACCAAGAUGCAAAGAGCAGGAUGCAAGGAGUAGGAUGCAAGGAGAUGGAAAGGAUUUGCAAAGACCAAGAUGCAAAGACCAAGAUGCAAAGACCAUGACACAAAGAUUUGCAAGGACCAUGAUCCAAAGAGGACCAAGCAAAGGAUUUGCAAAGACCACGAUGCAAGGAGAAGGCUGCGAGGAGACGCAAAGGAUUUACAAAGACCAAGACGCAAAGAUUUGCAAAGACCGAGGUGCAAAGACGAAGCUACAGAGGGGACGAAGGAAAGAUUUGCAAAGAACACGAUGCAAAGAGCAAGAUGCAAAGAGCAAGAUGCAAAGAGCAAGAUGCAAAGAGCAAGAGGCAAAGAUUUCCAAAGACCAUGAUCCAAAGAGGAUUACGCAAAGGAUUUGCAAAGGCCACGACGCAAAGAGCACGAAGCAAAGGAUCAGCAGGGCCCGUGAUGCACAGAGCCGCCGCCUGCACCGCCGCGCGCCCCCCGCCCUGCCCAGCCCGGACAAAAGUGAGCUUUUGGUCUGCUUUCCAACAAAAAUCCAUCGUUUUGCUUUAUUUCCGUCGGUUCGCCCCCGGGGAGGGGGCAGGGGGGGGUCACAGGUUUUGCACCGCGGAUACAAGUCUCCGGGGGGGGAGGUUGACAAGUUUUGGGGUUGCAGAAACAGAGUUUUGGGGGAUUUGGGGUACAUUUCGCAUCGAAGGAACAAGGCUUUUUUUUGCACUGCAGAAACAUUUCUGGGGAAUUUUUAA